rnacentral:tRNA from 1 species
AGUUUUAUAGUCAUUGGAAUGAUAUUAGACUGCAAUUCUAAAGGAGUAAAUUUUUUACUAAAGCUU